UACGUAGGGUGCGAGCGUUGUCCGGAAUUACUGGGCGUAAAGAGCUCGUAGGUGGUUUGUCGCGUUGUCCGUGAAAACUCACAGCUUAACUGUGGGCGUGCGGGCGAUACGGGCAGACUGGAGUACUGCAGGGGAGACUGGAAUUCCUGGUGUAGCGGUGGAAUGCGCAGAUAUCGGGAAGAACACCCGUGGCGAAGGCGGCACUCUGGGACGGUACUGACGCUGAGACGCGAAAGCGUGGGGAGCGAACAGG
rnacentral:rRNA from 1 species